GGGCCUAUAGUAAAAUGGUAUUACAUCUCCAUGGCAUGGAGGAGGUAGGAGUUCGAUUCUCCUUAGGUCCACAA
rnacentral:tRNA from 3 species